rnacentral:rRNA from 1 species
GACGUAGGGUCCAAGCGUUGUCCGGAUUUACUGGGCGUAAAGAGCGCGUAGGCGGUCUUGUAAGUGUGAAGUGAAAUCUCCAAGGGCUCAACCCGGAAACUGCUUUAACAUACUUGCAAGACUGGAAGGGAUGCAGAGGUUUGUGGAAUUCCUGGUGUAACGGUGAAAUGUGUUGAUAUCAGGAGGAACACCCAUGGCGAAGGCAAGCA